UAAUGUAGUCAAUUAUGUAGGCUUAUUUUAUUUCAGCAAAGUGCAGGUGGUGAGCUACAUCUCAUCGCAGGUGCUUUUCCAAUUAGCUGUACGUAUUCUAGGUGAAUAAAUGGCUGAGCGCCAAACCUCCAUGCCACUAGCAACAGACUAAUCCAAACUAAUCCGGAGGACUCAUCUUGCUUCAUGUUAAAGCAACUAGAGUCUAUUUUCUUUAUUAUCUCUUGAAAGAUCUCUUCUCAUCUUGGAAAAACAAGGAGGACUAUUUCACAUUGGAGGCCAUAAAUACACUUCACUCGGCAUUCGAGUGGGAUUUGCUGUGAGCUGGGCAGAACCCUGCCAAGGGCGUGCAGGACUUGGGACGUGUCAUUCGGUGAGGGAGCUCUGGGCUCUUGCCCUUGACACGCGGGCACCGGUCCUGCCCCGCAAUGCUUGGGGAGCCUGCCUGACUCCCAGCCCUCGAGCAUCACCACCACCAGGCACAAACUGGCUUGGCUGCCUCCUCUUCCUGCAACAGAAAUGGUGCUCAGAGCCAUCAGCAUCUUCCCUUCUGAGACCUUCAGGAAAGUAAACAAUAAAGAGAUUUGCAAAAGCACCAGAACUCCUUCGUGAACAUUGUGUCACGCUCCAUAGCAUUGUUUUAAGAUCUAACCCUUUGUCUGUGUCUUGUAAAACUCUUCCCUAACACACGGCUGCUUCCUGGGCUGCAAACCAACCAACACGGGCACUGGAGCCAAAAGGAUGGGCAGAAUCAGGCCCCCGAGCCUAAUCCUCCAUGACCCGCUGCUACAUUUUCACAGGACAAGUCCUUUCUGCUUUGCACCUUUUGGCAAGAAAGGGGAUGCCUGUGCAACCUUCCCCUGCCAGGGUGACUGCUGCAGAUGCAGAGGCCAGUGCUGCUGACGGGUGAGGACAGCAGCCAUUGAAUUAACCGUGUGCACCAGGUGGAGGAGAUGCUCCUGGCCAAGAAGGUGAUGAAGAGACCCUGCUCCCAGACUGCAAGCCCCUCUCGCUGGAAGGCCCUUAGCAGAAACCCCCUGAGAUAAACGUUGAAGGGCUGUGUUAAACGGGUGUCAAACGACAAGGACAGGCUGCGCACACAUGCUUCAGCCAGAACUGCCACGGAAAGGAGAAGAAAUGAUUCACUCCAUCACCUUUCGAAGUGACACUGUCUCAUGUGGGAGGAUGAGAGAAAGUACCAACUGCCCACUCUCCAAACCCCACUCUCCUUACUCAGAUGAAAUUUUUAUGUUUCCACCCACACGUGUUCAAAAACCCAUGACUCAUCUCCACAGAUAAUGAGAUCAGCUUUAAAGUUACGAGAUUUUGAAUACAACAAAGGUU